rnacentral:rRNA from 1 species
AGCGGCGGACGGGUGAAUAACGCGUGGGUAACCUGCCUCAUACAGGGGGAUAACAGUUGGAAACGGCUGCUAAUACCGCAUAAGCGCACAGUACCGCAUGGUACCGUGUGAAAAACUCCGGUGGUAUGAGAUGGACCCGCGUCUGAUUAGCUAGUUGGUGGGGUAACGGCCUACCAAGGCAACGAUCGGUAGCCGGACUGAGAGGUUGAACGGCCACAUUGGGACUGAGACACGGCCCAG